rnacentral:rRNA from 1 species
GAUGAACGCUAGCGGCAGGCUUAAUACAUGCAAGUCGAGGGGCAGCGGGAUAGCAAUAUCUGCCGGCGACCGGCAAACGGGUGCGGAACACGUACGCAACCUUCCCGGAACAGGUGAAUAGCCCUGCGAAAGUAGGAUUAAUACACCGUAUGAUACAGGAGUGGCGUCACUCUUAUAUUAAAGGUAGCAAUACCGGUUCUGGAUGGGCGUGCGCCUGAUUAGGUAGUUGGGUGGUAUCGCCCACAAGCCUUCGAUCAGUAACUGGUGUGAGAGCACGACCAGUCACGACGGGC